GUCACAGCUCCCUCAGGGAGAGUUUGGCCCCGUCGGGGACUGGGGAGGGCAAAGGAGCCAGAGCCGGUUGAGGAGCUGGGAUGGGGUAGAGCCGAGGCUGCUGGAAGGGCAUCGCCCUCUGGGACCCCGGAGAGCGUCGGCGGGCAGCGCCUGCCUCCUCGGGAGGGAUCCCUCUCUGUGCUGGGGAGAAACCCGCCCUCGGGGUCUUUCUGAGCCAGGCAGAGCUGACGCCCCGCCGGCCCCGAGUCUCAAAAGCUGAUGGAAAAUGCCCCAGACUUCAGCUCACAUGCCCGCAACGAGGAAGGGGAGCCAGUACGAGCUUGUUCCCGUCUCUCGGGGGUGAGUCCCAGCUCCUUCCAUGGACCGGGCAAAGAUGUCUUGUCGGGAGAUUUGGGAUCUCGUCCAUUUGGGGGCAUCUCGGAGCCCACCCACCAUUUGUCUUCCUGGGACUUUUCCUCCGUCUGUAUCCCACGGAUAGUUUUCUUUUUAGCAUUCUUCAGAUACUAGCGCUCACUCUGUCCCUCUCUUAGGCCCGGCUCUUGCUGCGUAACUCAGCCAACAAAUAAACAAAGAAUUCCUGUGUCUUC